GAUGAACGCUGGCGGCGUGCCUAAUACAUGCAAGUCGAGCGAACAGACGAGGAGCUUGCUCCUCUGACGUUAGCGGCGGACGGGUGAGUAACACGUGGAUAACCUACCUAUAAGACUGGGAUAACUUCGGGAAACCGGAGCUAAUACCGGAUAAUAUAUUGAACCGCAUGGUUCAAUAGUGAAAGACGGUUUUGCUGUCACUUAUAGAUGGAUCCGCGCCGCAUUAGCUAGUUGGUAAGGUAACGGCUUACCAAGGCGACGAUGCGUAGCCGACCUGAGAGGGUGAUCGGCCACACUGGAACUGAGACACGGUCCAGACUCCUACGGGAGGCAGCAGUAGGGAAUCUUCCGCAAUGGGCGAAAGCUUGACGGAGCAACGCCGCGUGAGUGAUGAAGGUCUUCGGAUCGUAAAACUCUGUUAUUAGGGAAGAACAAAUUUGUAAGUAACUAUGCACGUCUUGACGGUACCUAAUCAGAAAGCCACGGCUAACUACGUG
rnacentral:rRNA from 1 species